rnacentral:tRNA from 1 species
GCGCCGGUGGCGGAAUUGGUAGACGCGCAAGGUUGAGGGCCUUGUGGGGGGAUUCCCCCGUGGAGGUUCGAGUCCUCUUCGGCGCACCU